AAAAUAUAAAAUUGAGGCAUGUAUUGUAAUGCAAAAGUAGACUAUUAUAAUUUUCAUGUAUUAUUUAUUCUCCUUCAAGGUGAAGUGAGAUCAUAAUAGCAUACUAUGUUUAUAGAAAUACUUCGUAUGUGCAUUGCUUUCCAGUUAUUAAUGCUCGUUGUUGGAAAACAUUCUGAAAAAACAAGCACCCGUAUUGCUGAUGCAUAUUACAAGCCAAUGAUUUUCGGUUCGAUGAGGUUCGAUCCGAUUUCGCAAAACUUCUCGAAGGUGCAUCAAUCUACCGUCGAACCAGACGACUCUACCAUCAAAGCUAACAAACGCAGCAGGGGAAAACGAAUAUUUUAAAUAUUAUAUUAACGUAAAAUAAAAAGU